UUUAAUCAAAGCAAGUGUGUUUUAAUUUCUUUAAAGCCUGUUGUCUUGAAUGCUUAGUGUAAAGUUAUCCCAGGAGUCCAGUGAGCUGAAAGAUCUAUUAUACACAUCAACAAAUCAGAGGAACCAAUGGAUUAGCCAAGCCUUCCAGGACCAAGACAAAGAGAAAAACAGGAGGUCAUUUCACUCACUGAGAUCGCCUCAAACAGAAUGUGCCUGUGAGGAUUUCAAGCUGCUUGUGGCUGACAGAAAAAGUGGCUAGCUGACAACAUGGUAGCAAAGCAGGAUGACAGAGGCUGGGGCCGAAUGUCUACAGCAGGAAGCUGCCUCUGCUCAUGGAGACUCCCCAUGAGAUUUAAAUCUAGGGAUGUUGGAGAAUUCUGAUGGAAGCACAAACAAGAGAGGAAAUUGUUGAUGUUUGUUUAUUUGUCCCAUGUCCAGAACAGAAAUCAAUUCAGUAAAUAUGAUCGGUAUCUGCUAUUCUUGUUGUCAUUUUCAGUCCACAAAUCAUAUGUAAUUGAUUAUGGUUUUUCCUAUUUGCAUUGUGUUUCCUUUGUAUUGAAAUGAAUGGUGUGGGAUAAUGUAAUGAUAACAUAAAAUUCAGCAACGGCAGACAGUGAGAUGAAUAAUGUACUUGUUGUGAGAAGCCAAAAUGCAGCUGAGUUGGUAGAAGGCCCUAUUCCCCUCACAGAGCUAAAAUCCCCAGGGCUCCUUGGGAAGAGGCACUAAUCAAUCCACUCUGGGCAUUGUAACUCUGUGAAGGGAAUAGGGAUCUCCUAACAUCUCUUAGCACCCUUAACAAUCUACAGUUCCCAUGAUUCUUUGGGAGAAGCCACGUCUGUUUAAAGUGGAAUGAUAUAGCUUUAAAUGUAUAGUGCAGAUGGGGCCUAACACUGAGGAAUAAGUAGAUUGACUUCUCUCUGCCCUGCCCCCCCACAUUCCAUUCCCUUUUUGUUCCAUGUUGUUAUGGGACCUAAGGAGAACAUUUGGCAAAAGUGGGAGGAUGAAGAAUGAGGUACAGAUCUUGGGGAGUGGGUUGCCAGCACAGACAAAAGGUCUUUAGAAGUGUGUGGGCUUGCCAAUGGAAUUACUAAGAAAAGCCUGGAACCCCUCCCCCUUUCUCCUGAACCAUCUAGAGAUGAAUCUGCCUGGGCACCCAGCCUAGAUUUAGCUGUGGAACAGUUAAAACACAGUAAACAGAUAAGAGAGCAAAGUGAAAGCAGGCAGGCUGAGUCACUUUCGCCAAGGCCAAGGAGUUUAGAUAAGCGACGGCUUCAGAUGAUGCUUCCAACUCCUAGAAAAGGCUUUUGCCCUAUAGCAAAAGCAAGAAAGACCUAGAAUUAACCCAUAGAAGCCAGUCCCUGCCCCUCUCUGAUAUAAAAACUUUAGUGAUGCUUGUUUAGCUCUGUUGUAGCAACUCUUUGCUGUUGCCUCCAUGCCUUGUUCGUGAGGAAAGCCUAAACUGUUUGGUACCCUGAAUGAC